rnacentral:rRNA from 1 species
CCUACGGGGGGCAGCAGUGGGGGAUAUUGCACAAUGGGGGGAACCCUGAUGCAGCGACGCCGCGUGGGUGAAGGAGUGCUUCGGCAUGUAAAGCUCUAUCGGCAGGGAAGAAGCAAGACGGUACCUGACUAAGAAGCCCCGGCUAACUACGUGCCAGCAGCCGCGGGAAUACGUAGGGGGCGAGCGUUAUCCGGAUUCACUGGGCGUAAGGGGGGCGUAGACGGCCAUGCAAGCCAGGGGGGAAAGCGCGGGGCCCAACCCCGGGACUGCUCUGGGAACUGCAUGGCUGGAGAGCAGGAGGGGCAGGCGGAAUUCCUGGUGUAGCGGUGAAAUGCGUAGAUAUCAGGAGGAACACCGGCGGCGAAGGCGGCCUGCUGGACCGCGACUGACGUUGAGGCUCGAAAGCGUGGGGAGCGAACAGGAUUAGAUACCCUUGUAGUC